AUGAGGAGUAGCUGUCCUACUGCUGCCAGUAGUAAAGAGUUUCAGUUACUGGACAGCCGAGUACUGACUGGAUCUCAAUCAGGCGGCCGCCGGGAAGAGGCAGUCCGGGCAUCGGACGAGGCCGCUCGCGUUGCAGGCGGCGCAGGUGAGGACGCCGUCCUCGUCGCUCUGUUUCUUGCCGCUCCCGUCGUCGCUGUGCUUCUUCCGGCUCCCGUCGCAGCUGCCGCAGGGCACGUGGCGCUCGUCGCCGCAGCGGCCGCAGGGGGGAUGGGCCGGGCCGGGGGAUAUCGGGGCCGCGACGAUGCGGUUGAGCUCGCCGCACUCGUGGAGGCGCUGGACCUCCUCGACGCCACCGAGGUGCCGGCCGUCCACGAAGACCUGCGGGAGGGCCAGGCCCAGGCGGGGCGGCAGGAGCGCGGCGAACUCCGCCACGAAGGCGUUGUCCACGGCCAGGUCGCGCUCGUCGACGGUGGCGCCGAUCCCCCGCAGGAUGAAGCGCACGGUGUAGCAGUCCUCGUAGGUGCGGCGGACGACGCGGAGGGAGGUGGAGUAGAGCACGACGUGCACCUCUAG
rnacentral:rRNA from 1 species